ACGCACGCUGGCGGCGUGCUUAACACAUGCAAGUCGAACGGAAAGGCCCUGCUUUUGUGGGGUGCUCGCGUGGCGAACGGGUGAGUAGCACGUGAGUAACCUGCCCUUGACUUUGGGAUAACUUCAGGAAACUGGGGCUAAUACCGGAUAGGAGCUCCUGCUGCAUGGUGGGGGUUGGAAAGUUUCGGCGGUUGGGGAUGGACUCGCGGCUUAUCAGCUUGUUGGUGGGGUAGUGGCUUACCAAGGCUUUGACGGGUAGCCGGCCUGAGAGGGUGACCGGCCACAUUGGGACUGAGAUACGGCCCAGACUCCUACGGGAGGCAGCAGUGGGGAAUAUUGCACAAUGGGCGGAAGCCUGAUGCAGCAACGCCGCGUGCGGGAUGACGGCCUUCGGGUUGUAAACCGCUUUCGCCUGUGACGAAGCGUGAGUGACGGUAAUGGGUAAAGAAGCACCGGCUAACUACGUG
rnacentral:rRNA from 1 species